CCUGCGGACGGCCGUGGCCAGAGGAGGAGAAGGACGAUGAGAGAUGCCUGGAGGAGGAACAUCGCAUGUCCGCGGGAUGCGCGAGUAACCCGCGGAGGACUUCUGCAAACCACCAGCAUGGUUCAAGGAUGAAGCCGGCGUGGCAGCUGUAAUGGAGCACUGUCCCCUCCACUGGCGGCCCGGGGGGCUUCACCGUCACUCUGCCGUUCUCUAGGGAGGUCCACACCCGCGGACACAGCAGCACUGGGAACCAGAAUAACCACGAAAGAGAGGGAGGCAGAGACACAGAGAGUUAUAGAAAGGUCGAUGGCUGCGUCCACUCGAUCCGUCCCCGUCGCACCACUGCCGCAUGCCCCACCUUCUUUCUUAACUUUGAUAUCGGACUCGGCUCCAACAGGGGGACUCCGCCCAGCGCAGACAGUGGUGCGUCUUCCC